rnacentral:tRNA from 1 species
GACCAUAUAGCUCAGUGGUUAAGAGCUCCCAAGGUCCUAUUGGGUGGUCCCAAGUUCAAUCCUUGGUGUGAUCA